GAAUAUUGGACAAUGGGGGAAACCCUGAUCCAGCCAUGCCGCGUGCGUGAAGAAGGCCUUAGGGUUGUAAAGCGCUUUCGGCGGGGAAGAUGAUGACGGUACCCGCAGAAGAAGCCCCGGCUCACUCCGUGCCAGCCUCCGCGGUAAGACGGAGGGGGCUAGCGUUGUUCGGAUUUACUGGGCGUAAAGGGCGCGUAGGCGGGCAUUCAAGUCAGGGGUGGAAGGCCUGGGCUCAACCUGGGAACUGCCUUUGAAACUGAGUGUCUAGAGGCCGAGAGAGGUUAGCGGAAUUCCCAGUGUAGAGGUGAAAUUCGUAGAUAUUGGGAAGAACACCAGUGGCGAAGGCGGCUAUCUGGCUCGGUUCUGACGCUGAGGCGCGAAAGCGUGGGGAGCAAACAGG
rnacentral:rRNA from 1 species